UCACCCGCCGCGGGAGACGCCGGACCCCGGUUCGCCGGCGUCCUGCACCGAAGGAGCAACGUCCCCGCCAAUCUCUCAGGUCCAACACCGCGACGGACAG
rnacentral:ncRNA from 1 species